rnacentral:lncRNA from 1 species
UCAUGCAAGAGAAAGAAAGGAAGAAAAGAAGGAAGGAAGGAAGAAAGGAAGGAAGGAAGGAAGGAAAGAAGGAGGAAAAGAGAGAGAAAGAGACAGAGAGGGAGAGAUGGAUGGACUUCAAGACAGGUUAGAGUGGCAGUCAACUCCUAUGAAGAUGCCCAAGAAUGUGAGUGAGGACAAACCAAGUCAGUAAAUAACUUGAAUAUGGGAAUGCAGACAAACUCUCUGCAUCCAGCAGGUGGUUCCCUGGUGCAUCUCCUGCUACUGUAGCAAAUGUUCCCAACACUGCACACUCAACCUGACACUUCCAUCCCAGCAUAACCCAUACUUGCAAUCCUCAGAACACAUGGAUUUUCCUCUCCUUCUGGUUUCUACAUGCAUAAAUCUCUGCAUAGAAGGCCCUCUCUUCUUCCCCUACUCUGUUCAUCUGUUCGAUUCAAAUGAGAAAUAUAACUCUUUUUAAGCUUUCUCUUCUUUGCAAGUUCUCCUUGCUAUCCCCUCUCUGUUUUGGGGGUUCAUCUCCCCUAGACACACAGCAUCUAUGCCAUACAUGUGUGCAGCCCCUACAUUAUAGCACAGUCGUUGUUCUCUUUCUAACUAUAGCUAUGUUAACAAUGAGAACAAAUAAGAUGUUGGGUACAGUGCCAGGCAAAAAGAAGCUCAACAAGUGUGUGAUGAGGGAAGGGCUGAAGAGUUCAACUUCACUAGCAUGGAACUGCUCAAAAGAAACAGUUAUCUCCAAAAUUAAGACGUUUACCACAGAGUCCAGAGCCACUACUAGUCAUUCUGAGCCACUGACUCUAUUGUCUGAAUAUAAUCAUAUGUCUAUGAUUAUUAUUGUCAAAACUAAUAAUAAUCAUAGCCAGAGGUAGGCCUCUGAAUAACAGAACACAUGUUUAUAUCUACCAGGGACUGUAGAAUACUGGGGGCACAAAAUAUGAGUCUCUGGUUAACUACAAAAUAAAAUACCAUAAUAAUACUUACUAUGAAAUAAGUUGAUGAUAUGAGGCACCUGUGUACUUAAACAAAGACCCCUUAGACACUAUACACAAAAUCAAAGACUCAAUUUAACAGUGGAUUGUCAGCUGAGAACUGCCCCCUAAGAAGGAAUGUAUGCCUGUUUUUGUAAUGUGAUCCAGAGCCUAUGGCUACUGAGGUCCUAAGAUCUAGAUAGUUGCCUACUGCUACUAGUUUGCCAAAUGGCCAUGCUGUUAAAUCGCCUUCUAAAGAUUGAUGACUUUGUUCAUAGAUUACUGUUGCACAGUGCCAGUAGCAAAGAAGUUUCUUACUAUAGAAAAUGACAAUUAAGAAGAAGCACUAGCUGGGCAUGGUGCUAAGCAUAAGAGAUUCUACAGUGUUUGCUCCUCAGUGGGACGUCUAUAGGACCCAUUCCAAGGCUCAGAAAACACCAAAGAAAAAGCAUCAGAAAGGGGAAAUGUAGGAGGCAGAGUAAGAAGACUGUGUAACACAAAGACAUCGUUUGAACAUGACAUGUAACACCCAUAAACUCACGGUAUCUGUGGUUAGCAGCACAGGAUUGGACACACAGCAUGGCUACAGGCAGACCUGUGAGAAUCUACCUGUCCCUGGGGAUCCAUUGGCAGUUAACGGUCUCUGAGGAAGGGAGUAUCAUUUUCUUCAGUGAUACAGCCCCUGGUAUGUUACUCUUGCUCCAGUAAGUAACCUCCUACCCAAUCUUGUGCAAGAAACCUAAUUAAACUCAGUGGGUCUCACACAAGAAGGAAGGCAUGAAGGUAGGAGGGAGAACUCUUUGGACGAAAUGUUCCAGCAGGAAAGGGAGGAUAAGAAAGGGAAUGGAGAGUACAAAUAACGACAAUUCAUUAGGUAGGUAGGUAGAUAGAUAGAUAGGUAG